AGUGAACGCUGGCGGUAGGCCUAACACAUGCAAGUCGAACGGCAGCACAGUAAGAGCUUGCUCUUACGGGUGGCGAGUGGCGGACGGGUGAGGAAUACAUCGGAAUCUACUUUUUCGUGGGGGAUAACGUAGGGAAACUUACGCUAAUACCGCAUACGACCUACGGGUGGAAGCAGGGGAUCUUCGGACCUUGCGCGAUUGAAUGAGCCGAUGUCGGAUUAGCUAGUUGGCGGGGUAAAGGCCCACCAAGGCGACGAUCCGUAGCUGGUCUGAGAGGAUGAUCAGCCACACUGGAACUGAGACACGGUCCAGACUCCUACGGGAGGCAGCAGUGGGGAAUAUUGGACAAAGGGCGCAAGCCUGAUCCAACCAUACCGCGUGGGUGAAGAAGGCCUUCGGGUUGUAAAGCCCUUUUGUUGGGAAAGAAAAGCAGCAGGUUAAUACCCCGCUGUUCUGACGGUACCCAAAGAAUAAGCACCGGCUAACUUCGUG
rnacentral:rRNA from 1 species